rnacentral:rRNA from 1 species
AUUGAACGCUGGCGGCAGGCUUAACACAUGCAAGUCGAGCGGAUGAAGGGACCUUGCUCCUGGAUUCAGCGGCAGACGGGUGAGUAAUGCCUAGGUAUCUCCCUGGUAGUGUGGGCUAACGUCCGGUAACGGGCGCUAAUACUGCAUCCGUUCCGUGGUAGAACUUUGGGGAGCUUCCUACCUCUCGCCACCAUUUUAUCCUAGGUCGGAUUAGCUAGUUGGUGGCGUAACUGCCUAGCAAGGCGAUGAUCCGUAACUGGUCUGAGAGGAUGAUCAGUCACACUGGAACUGAGACACGGUCCAGACUCCUACGGGAGGCAGCAGUGGGGAAUACUAGACAAGGGGCGAAAGCCUGAUCCAGCCAUGCCGAGUGUGUGAAGAAGAUCUUCGGAUUGUAAAGCACUUUAAGUUGGGAGGAAGGGCAGUAAGUUAAUACCUUGCUGUUUUGACGUUACCAAGAGAAUAAGCACCGGCUAACUUCGUG